rnacentral:tRNA from 1 species
CGGUAGCCAAGUUGGUUUAAGGCGCAAGACUGUAAAUCUUGAGAUCGGGCGUUCGACUCGCCCCCGGGAGA